UGCCCAAUGAGGAAUUAAAUGGCCGCAGUAUUUUGACUGUGCAAAGGUAGCAUAAUUAUUAGUUUUUUAAUUGAAAGCUUGUAUGAAGGGUUGGACGAGAUAAAAUCUGUCUUUAUUUAAAUUACAAUAGAAUUUAACUUUUAAGUCAAAAGGCUUAAAUGUAUAUAAAAGACGAGAAGACCCUAUAGAUCUUUAUUUAAUUAAUAUUUUGAUAAUUUAAGAUUAUUUUAGUUUAAAGUUUUAAUUAAAUUUUAUUGGGGUAAUAUAGAGAUUAAAUAAAUUCUUUUUAUUUAUUACAUUGAUUUAUGAAUAUAUGAUCCAAUAUUAUUGAUUAUAAGAUUAAGUUACCUUAGGGAUAACAGCGUAAUUUUUUUGGAGAGCUCAUAUCGAUAAAAAAGUUUGCGACCUCGAUGUUGGAUUAAAAAUUAGCUUGGGUGCAGAAGCUCAAGAUUUUGGUCUGUUCGACCAUUAAAUUUUUACAUGAUCUGAGUUCAGACCGGCGUAAGCCAGGUCGGUUUCUAUCUUUAUUUAUCUAAAAUAUUUUAGUACGAAAGGACCAAAUAUUUAAUAUAAUUAUAUUUCUUUUUUGAAUAAUAUU
rnacentral:rRNA from 2 species